UAUUAAAAAUUUCGAUCUAUUUUUACAAUUUAAAUUUUAAAAUUGGCAUGACUAAUAAAAUAAUCAAAUAGUGAUAUAUGAUGUGUCAUAUGUAGCUCAUGUUGAUGUAUAAUGACAAGUUUUAACGGUAAAAUUGAAUGAAAUUUUUAACA
rnacentral:pre_miRNA from 1 species